AUUGAACGCUGGCGGCAGGCCUAACACAUGCAAGUCGAACGAGUGGCGGACGGGUGAGUAAUAUGUGUGAAAAUGCCCGAUGGAGGGGGGUAACUACUGGGAAAGGUGGAUAAUACCGCGUAUCAUCUGAGAUGCCCACAUGGGAUUAGCGUGUAGGUGGGGUAACGGCUCACCUAGGCGACGAUCCCUAGCUGGUCUGAGAGGAUGACCAGCCACACUGGAACUGAGACACGGUCCAGACUCCUACGGGAGGCAGCAGUGGGGAAUAUUGCACAAUGGGCGCAAGCCUGAUGCAGCCAUGCCGCGUGUAUGAAGAAGGCCUUCGGGUUGUAAAGUACUUUCAGCGGGGAGGCGUUACCCGCAGAAGAAGCACCGGCUAACUCCGUGCCAGCAGCCGCGGUAAUAC
rnacentral:rRNA from 1 species